rnacentral:rRNA from 1 species
AACGAACGCUGGCGGCAGGCUUAACACAUGCAAGUCGAACGCAUGCCUUCGGGCAUGAGUGGCAGACGGGUGAGUAACGCGUGGGAACCUACCCCUUGGUACGGGAUAGCUCCGGGAAACUGGAGAUAAUACCGUAUGUGUCCUGAGGGACAAAGAUUCAUCGCCACGGGAUGGGCCCGCGUCGGAUUAGCUAGUUGGUUGGGUAACGGCCUACCAAGGCGACGAUCCGUAGCUGGUCUAAGAGGAUGAUCAGCCACAUUGGGACUGAGACACGGCCCAAACUCCUACGGGAGGCAGCAGUGGGGAAUAUUGGACAAUGGGCGCAAGCCUGAUCCAGCCAUGCCGCGUGAGUGAUGAAGGCCCUAGGGUUGUAAAGCUCUUUCACCGGUGACGAUAAUGACGGUAACCGGAGAAGAAGCCCCGGCUAACUUCGUG